ACUCCUACGGGAGGCAGCAGUGGGGAAUAUUGCGCAAUGGGGGCAACCCUGACGCAGCAACGCCGCGUGUGUGAAGAAGGCCCUCGGGUCGUAAAGCACUGUCGAAUAGAACGAGCCGGAUGCGGUUAAUACCCGUGUCCCCGACGGUACUAUUUGAGGAAGCACCGGCUAACUCCGUGCCAGCAGCCGCGGUAAUACGGAGGGUGCAAGCGUUGUUCGGAAUUAUUGGGCGUAAAGCGCGCGCAGGCGGCCUGUUAAGUUUGAUGUGAAAUCCCUCGGCUCAACCGAGGACGUGCAUUGAAUACUGGCAGGCUUGAAUCCUGGAGAGGGUGGCGGAAUUCCCAGUGUAGAGGUGAAAUUCGUAGAUAUUGGGAGGAACACCAGUGGCGAAGGCGGCCACCUGGACAGUGAUUGACGCUGAGGCGCGAAAGCAUGGGUAGCAAACAGGAUUAGAUACCCUGGUAGUC
rnacentral:rRNA from 1 species